rnacentral:rRNA from 1 species
CAGCAGUGGGGAAUCUUGCGCAAUGGGCGAAAGCCUGACGCAGCCAUGCCGCGUGAAUGAUGAAGGUCUUAGGAUUGUAAAAUUCUUUCACCGGGGACGAUAAUGACGGUACCCCGGAGAAGAAGCCCCGGCUAACUUCGUGCCAGCAGCCGCGGUAAUACGAAGGGGGCUAGCGUUGCUCGGAAUUACUGGGCGUAAAGGGCGCGUAGGCGGACAGUUUAGUCAGAGGUGAAAGCCCAGGGCUCAACCUUGGAAUUGCCUUUGAUACUGGCUGUCUUGAGUACGGGAGAGGUGAGUGGAACUCCGAGUGUAGAGGUGAAAUUCGUAGAUAUUCGGAAGAACACCAGUGGCGAAGGCGACUCACUGGCCCGUUACUGACGCUGAGGCGCGAAAGCGUGGGGAGCAAACAGGAUUAGAUACCCUGGUAG